UUAAGCGACUAAGCGUACACGGUGGAUGCCCUGGCAGUCAGAGGCGAUGAAGGACGUGCUAAUCUGCGAAAAGCGUCGGUAAGGUGAUAUGAACCGUUAUAACCGGCGAUGUCCGAAUGGGGAAACCCAGUGCAAUUCGUUGCACUAUCGUUAACUGAAUACAUAGGUUAACGAGGCGAACCGGGGGAACUGAAACAUCUAAGUACCCCGAGGAAAAGAAAUCAACCGAGAUUCCCCCAGUAGCGGCGAGCGAACGGGGAGCAGCCCAGAGUCUGAAUCAGCUUGUGUGUUAGUGGAACGGUCUGGAAAGUCCGACGGUACAGGGUGAUAGUCCCGUACACCAAAAUGCACAGGUUGUGAACUCGAAGAGUAGGGCGGGACACGUGGUAUCCUGUCUGAAUAUGGGGGGACCAUCCUCCAAGGCUAAAUACUCCUGACUGACCGAUAGUGAACCAGUACCGUGAGGGAAAGGCGAAAAGAACCCCGGCGAGGGGAGUGAAAAAGAACCUGAAACCGUGUACGUACAAGCAGUGGGAGCACCUUCGGGUGUGACUGCGUACCUUUUGUAUAAUGGGUCAGCGACUUAUAUUCUGUAGCAAGGUUAACCGUAUAGGGGAGCCGCAGGGAAACCGAGUCUUAACUGGGCGUUAAGUUGCAGGGUAUAGACCCGAAACCCGGUGAUCUAGCCAUGGGCAGGUUGAAGGUUGGGUAACACUAACUGGAGGACCGAACCGACUAAUGUUGAAAAAUUAGCGGAUGACUUGUGGCUGGGGGUGAAAGGCCAAUCAAACCGGGAGAUAGCUGGUUCUCCCCGAAAGCUAUUUAGGUAGCGCCUCGUGAACUCAUCUUCGGGGGUAGAGCACUGUUUCGGCUAGGGGGUCAUCCCGACUUACCAACCCGAUGCAAACUACGAAUACCGAAGAAUGUUAUCACGGGAGACACACGGCGGGUGCUAACGUCCGUCGUGAAGAGGGAAACAACCCAGACCGCCAGCUAAGGUCCCAAAGUCAUGGUUAAGUGGGAAACGAUGUGGGAAGGCACAGACAGCCAGGAUGUUGGCUUAGAAGCAGCCAUCAUUUAAAGAAAGCGUAAUAGCUCACUGGUCGAGUCGGCCUGCGCGGAAGAUGUAACGGGGCUAAACCAUGCACCGAAGCUGCGGCAGCGACACUAUGUGUUGUUGGGUAGGGGAGCGUUCUGUAAGCCUGCGAAGGUGACCUGUGAGGGUUGCUGGAGGUAUCAGAAGUGCGAAUGCUGACAUAAGUAACGAUAAAGCGGGUGAAAAGCCCGCUCGCCGGAAGACCAAGGGUUCCUGUCCAACGUUAAUCGGGGCAGGGUGAGUCGACCCCUAAGGCGAGGCCGAAAGGCGUAGUCGAUGGGAAACAGGUUAAUAUUCCUGUACUUGGUGUUACUGCGAAGGGGGGACGGAGAAGGCUAUGUUAGCCGGGCGACGGUUGUCCCGGUUUAAGCAUGUAGGCUGGUUAUCCAGGCAAAUCCGGAUAAUCAAGGCUGAGGUGUGAUGACGAGGCACUACGGUGCUGAAGUAACAAAUGCCCUGCUUCCAGGAAAAGCCUCUAAGCAUCAGGUAACAUCAAAUCGUACCCCAAACCGACACAGGUGGUCAGGUAGAGAAUACCAAGGCGCUUGAGAGAACUCGGGUGAAGGAACUAGGCAAAAUGGUGCCGUAACUUCGGGAGAAGGCACGCUGGUGUGUAGGUGAAGUCCCUGCGGAUGGAGCUGAGACCAGUCGAAGAUACCAGCUGGCUGCAACUGUUUAUUAAAAACACAGCACUGUGCAAACACGAAAGUGGACGUAUACGGUGUGACGCCUGCCCGGUGCCGGAAGGUUAAUUGAUGGGGUUAUCCGUAAGGAGAAGCUCUUGAUCGAAGCCCCGGUAAACGGCGGCCGUAACUAUAACGGUCCUAAGGUAGCGAAAUUCCUUGUCGGGUAAGUUCCGACCUGCACGAAUGGCGUAAUGAUGGCCAGGCUGUCUCCACCCGAGACUCAGUGAAAUUGAACUCGCUGUGAAGAUGCAGUGUACCCGCGGCAAGACGGAAAGACCCCGUGAACCUUUACUAUAGCUUGACACUGAACAUUGAGCCUUGAUGUGUAGGAUAGGUGGGAGGCUUUGAAGCGUGGACGCCAGUCUGCGUGGAGCCAACCUUGAAAUACCACCCUUUAAUGUUUGAUGUUCUAACGUGGGCCCCUGACCGGGGUUGCGGACAGUGUCUGGUGGGUAGUUUGACUGGGGCGGUCUCCUCCCAAAGCGUAACGGAGGAGCACGAAGGUUAGCUAAUCCUGGUCGGACAUCAGGAGGUUAGUGCAAUGGCAUAAGCUAGCUUGACUGCGAGCGUGACGGCGCGAGCAGGUGCGAAAGCAGGUCAUAGUGAUCCGGUGGUUCUGAAUGGAAGGGCCAUCGCUCAACGGAUAAAAGGUACUCCGGGGAUAACAGGCUGAUACCGCCCAAGAGUUCAUAUCGACGGCGGUGUUUGGCACCUCGAUGUCGGCUCAUCACAUCCUGGGGCUGAAGUAGGUCCCAAGGGUAUGGCUGUUCGCCAUUUAAAGUGGUACGCGAGCUGGGUUUAGAACGUCGUGAGACAGUUCGGUCCCUAUCUGCCGUGGGCGCUGGAGAAUUGAGGGGGGCUGCUCCUAGUACGAGAGGACCGGAGUGGACGCAUCACUGGUGUUCGGGUUGUCAUGCCAAUGGCACUGCCCGGUAGCUAAAUGCGGAAGAGAUAAGUGCUGAAAGCAUCUAAGCACGAAACUUGCCCCGAGAUGAGUUCUCCCUGAGACUUUAAGUCUCCUGAAGGAACGUUGAAGACGACGACGUUGAUAGGCCGGGUGUGUAAGCGCAGCGAUGCGUUGAGCUAACCGGUACUAAUGAACCGUGAGGCUUAACCU
rnacentral:rRNA from 2 species